GAGUUUGAUCUUGGCUCAGAACGAACGCUGGCGGCAUGCCUAACACAUGCAAGUCGAACGCCCUGGGCAACUGGGGAGUGGCGGACGGGUGAGUAACGCGUGGGGACCUGCCUCGAAGUUCGGAAUAACCGCGGGAAACUGCGGCUAAUACCGGAUGUGGCCUGAGGGCCAAAGGGGAAACUCGCUUCGAGAGGGGCCCGCGUCCGAUUAGCUAGUUGGCGGGGUAACGGCCCACCAAGGCGACGAUCGGUAGCUGGUCUGAGAGGAUGAUCAGCCACACUGGGACUGAGACACGGCCCAGACUCCUACGGGAGGCAGCAGUGGGGAAUAUUGGACAAUGGGGGCAACCCUGAUCCAGCAAUGCCGCGUGAGUGAUGAAGGCCUUCGGUUGU
rnacentral:rRNA from 1 species